rnacentral:rRNA from 1 species
GUCUAGUGGCGCACGGGUGCGUAACACGUGGGAAUCUGCCCUUCGGUUCGGAAUAACUCAGGGAAACUUGAGCUAAUACCGGAUGAUGACGUAAGUCCAAAGAUUUAUCGCCGAAGGAUGAGCCCGCGUAGGAUUAGCUUGUUGGUGAGGUAAGAGCUCACCAAGGCGACGAUCCUUAGCUGGUCUGAGAGGAUGAUCAGCCACACUGGGACUGAGACACGGCCCAGACUCCUACGGGAGGCAGCAGUGGGGAAUAUUGGACAAUGGGCGAAAGCCUGAUCCAGCAAUGCCGCGUGAGUGAUGAAGGCCUUAGGGUUGUAAAGCUCUUUUACCCGGGAUGAUAAUGACAGUAUCCGGGAGAAUAAGCUCCGUCUAACUCCGUGCCAGCAGCCGCGGUAAU